AUGCCACGCUUUUGAAAGAUGGUUUCGGCUAUCGCUUACAGAUGGGCCCGCGGUGCAUUAGCUAGUUGGUAGGGUAAUGGCCUACCAAGGCAACGAUGCAUAGCCGACCUGAGAGGGUGAUCGGCCACACUGGGACUGAGACACGGCCCAGACUCCUACGGGAGGCAGCAGUAGGGAAUCUUCCGCAAUGGACGAAAGUCUGACGGAGCAACGCCGCGUGUAUGAAGAAGGUUUUCGGAUCGUAAAGUACUGUUGUUAGAGAAGAACAAGGAUAAGAGUAACUGCUUGUCCCUUGACGGUAUCUAACCAGAAAGCCACGGCUAACUACGUGCCAGCAGCCGCGGUAAUACGUAGGUGGCAAGCGUUGUCCGGAUUUAUUGGGCGUAAAGCGCGCGCAGGCGGUCUUUUAAGUCUGAUGUGAAAGCCCCCGGCUUAACCGGGGAGGGUCAUUGGAAACUGGAAGACUGGAGUGCAGAAGAGGAGAGUGGAAUUCCACGUGUAGCGGUGAAAUGCGUAGAUAUGUGGAGGAACACCAGUGGCGAAGGCGACUCUCUGGUCUGUAACUGACGCUGAGGCGCGAAAGCGUGGGGAGCAAACAGGAUUAGAU
rnacentral:rRNA from 1 species